rnacentral:rRNA from 1 species
AUGGGUCGUACCAAUGUCAAUCCUAUUUGGGAUAAGAUUUGGAAAUUAUCGUGUCCGGCGAAGGUAAAGAUAUUUAUUUGGCGAACGUUGCAUGGAACUCUACUGUGUCGUGUUACACUUGCCAAUAGACAUAUAAAAGUUUCGCCACUUUGCCCAUCUUGCUCGAAUGGGCAAGAAGAUACAAAGCACAUCUUGUUUCUGUGUCAGAAGGCAAAAGAGGUUUGGGAAAAGCUGGGAUGUGAGGUAAUUAAGAAAGCUUGUGUUAUUGAUCGUGCGGGUGAGGCGGUUCUUGAAUUUUUACUUCUUAUGCCACACCAAGAACUAUCUAUAUUAGGUUGCCAAAAUACAAGUGAAUUAAUCACGAUAAUCGCCUGGUAUUUAUGGUGGGAGAUACGCAUGUUGGUUCAUGAAGGGAAAUCUCAAGAAGUGAAUCAGAUUUCGAUGGGGAUUCGUGUUAUAACUGCAAACUAUGUGAAUGCCCACUCCCCUAGUGCGACUAGUAGAAAAGAAGGAUGGAGCCGACCUCCUAUGGGUUUUGUUAAACUAAAUGUUGACGCUUCUUUUGACCAUGAUCUGCUCCGGGGCACGGCAGGUGCGGUGCUCAGAGAUGACAAAGGAAACUUCCUUGCUGGCGGAAAUUGGAAGAUCGAUUGGUGUGCUGAUGUACUAACAGCAGAAGCGAUGGUUCUUAUGUUUGGUUUAAUUCUUGCACAAAAGGUGGGAUGCAAUCGUCUUAUUAUUAACUCUGAUAAUAUGGAAGUCAUCGGCACAAUGAAGAAUGGAGGACAAUCGGCGGGAGUUGCGGCGGCAGUAUUCGAGGAUUGCUAUUUCAUGGCAUGCGAUUUUCCGUUGACUAGAUUUGAACAUUGUAAUAGGGUAGCUAAUAAGGUUGCUCAUGAACUUGCUAGGCUAGCGUAA